CCUACGGGGGGCAGCAGUGGGGAAUAUUGCGCAAUGGGCGAAAGCCUGACGCAGCGACGCCGCGUGAGGGAUGAAGGUUCUCGGAUCGUAAACCUCUGUCAGAAGGGAAGAAAUUAUAUCAUGCUAAUCAGUGGUGUAUUGACGGUACCUUCAAAGGAAGCACCGGCUAACUCCGUGCCAGCAGCCGCGGUAAUACGGAGGGUGCGAGCGUUAAUCGGAAUUACUGGGCGUAAAGCGCACGUAGGCUGUAUGACAAGUCAAGGGUGAAAUGCCACGGCUCAACCGUGGAACUGCCUUUGAAACUGUCAAACUGGAGUAUGUGAGAGGGCGGCGGAAUUCCUGGUGUAGGAGUGAAAUCCGUAGAUAUCAGGAGGAACAUCAGUGGCGAAGGCGGCCGCCUGGCACAAAACUGACGCUGAGGUGCGAAAGCGU
rnacentral:rRNA from 1 species